rnacentral:rRNA from 1 species
AGUGAACGCUGGCGGUAGGCCUAACACAUGCAAGUCGAACGGCAGCACAGUAAGAGCUUGCUCUUACGGGUGGCGAGUGGCGGACGGGUGAGGAAUACAUCGGAAUCUACUUUUUCGUGGGGGAUAACGUAGGGAAACUUACGCUAAUACCGCAUACGACCUACGGGUGAAAGCAGGGGAUCUUCGGACCUUGCGCGAUUGAAUGAACCGAUGUCGGAUUAGCUAGUUGGCGGGGUAAAGGCCCACCAAGGCGACGAUCCGUAGCUGGUCUGAGAGGAUGAUCAGCCACACUGGAACAGAGACACGGGCCAGACUCCGACGGGAGGCAGCAGUGGGGAAUAUUGGACAAUGGGCGCAAGCCUGAUCCAGCCAUACCGCGUGGGUGAAGAAGGCCUUCGGGUUGUAAAGCCCUUUUGUUGGGAAAGAAAAGCAGCAGGUUAAUACCCCGCUGUUCUGACGGUACCCAAAGAAUAAGCACCGGCUAACUUCGUG